AACGUUCAUCUCUACUUUUUUUGAUAAGAAUCCGCCUUAAGUUAGAUGCUUUGUAGAGACGGAAGUAGGGAAACUUCCCGAAGGAACGCACU
rnacentral:ncRNA from 2 species